ensembl:lncRNA
ACAGGAUCAACCUAGAACUGCCUCAAGAUGUUCUCAUCACUCUUGGCAGCACAUUAGGGAAGAGAAGCAGUAAAUUUAGUGGAUAUUUGAAGGCAGCAGAAAUUUCACUGAAAGCAUAUCCAAGGCGCCCAUGGAGCUGCAAUCUUACAGAUGCACAUGACCCAGAUUCCCAGACUGACUCCAGCAAACCUCACAAUGAUUUACCCAGUAAACUUCAAACAAACCACAGAUCACAGGACCAAACCAGCUAUCAUCCUCAGGAGAUCCAGAGUGAUCAGAUGCAGGGAGCUGAGCCUCCUCGAGGUGAUAAUUCUGCUUCUCAGGAACAGAAAGAUGAGACACUGAGGGAGCUGGAGAGCCAGAUGACAAAGCUGACUAAUGAGUUGGGCAUCAUAAGAGAGCAGAACAAAAACCUACAAAAUCGUGUAAAAUUCCUGGAGUUAUGUCUGAAGGACCAUUGCAGAGAAGGGGUCCAGUCAGAUUGUCCUUUUCACAAUGGGUCCAACUGUACUGAAGAUCGCUGUCAGACAAGAGCGUGUAAUGAGGAUAACAGGCAGUGCCCUCAACAGCCGUGCGCUCCUCAAAACUGCCCAGGAGAGAAUGUACCUGACUGUCAGAGAAGAACAUGUAAUGAGGAUAACAGGCAGUGCCCUCAACAGCCGUGCCGUCCUCAAAACUGCCCGCAGGAAAAUGUACCUGACUGUCAGACACGAACGUGUGAUGAGGAUAACAGGCAGUGUCCUCAACAGCGAUGCCCUAAUCAAGACUGCAGAGAGGAGAAUGUACCUGACUGUCAGACAAGAACGUGUAAUGAGGAUAACAGGCAGUGCCCUCAACAGCCAAGCCCUCCUCAAAACUGCCCACAGGAAAAUGUACCUGACUGUCAGACACGAACAUGUGAUGUGAGUAUUUCAUUCUUUUCCAUAAUAAACAACAAUCAAAAAUAUUUAAUAAGGUUGAAGAAGUCUGCUGGUCCCAUUUUCCAUUAGUUUUUUUUUAUUUUUUUGUUUGUCUUCCUUUUAAUAAUAGGAUAACAGGCAGUGCCCUCAACAGCCAUGCCCUAAUCAAGACUGCAGAGAGGAAAAUGUAACUGGCUGUCAGACACGAACGUGUGAUGUGAGUAUUUCAUAUUUUUCCAUAAUAAAUAACAAUCAAA